UCGAGAAUCUUCCGCAAUGGGCGAAAGCCUGACGGAGCGACGCCGCGUGCGGGAUGAAGGCCUUCGGGUUGUAAACCGCUGUCAGAGGGGAACAAAUUCAUGGGGGUUCUCCCUGUGAUUGAGUGAUCCUCAGAGGAAGCGCAGGCUAAGUCCGUGCCAGCAGCCGCAGUAACACGGACUGCGCGAACGUUAUUCGGAAUCACUGGGCUUAAAGCGUCCGUAGGCGGCCGUGCAGGUGGGGUGUGAAAUCCCUCGGCUUAACCGAGGAAUGGCGUUCCAAACCACACGGCUUGAGAGAGAGAGAGGUGAGCGGAACGCACGGUGGAGCGGUGAAAUGCGUUGAUAUCGGGAGGAACACCGGUGGCGAAAGCGGCUCACUGGGUCUCUUCUGACGCUGAGGGACGAAAGCUAGGGGAGCGAACG
rnacentral:rRNA from 1 species